AUGAAUUUUCAUUCAAGACCACAAGUUACUUUUGCCAUUACAAUGAUUAUUCAAGUCCAUAUAUCAAAAAUCAUUACACUACUAACCAUUGUAAAUACUACAAUACAAAUCCCAAAAUCAUCAAUACAUCAUAUGAAAUUUCAAAAUUACAAAGAAAUUUUCAUAAAAACUCCUCCUAAAACUUAG